GGUGCUGUGGCUCAAGUGGUAGAGUGCUAGCCUUGAGCUGCAUGCAUGCGGCCCUGGGUUCGAUUCCCCAGCACCA
rnacentral:tRNA from 1 species